CACAGAAUCGUGACAUUCGGAUUACGUCAUUCCAGUUUGAAAAUGGGACAAACGAACUAAACCACGUUGCCUGUGUGGACUGUCCAUGCAUAUGUCCAUGUCUCUGUUUGCAGCUGCCAAGAGCCUAGCUACUUUGUACGUGAGCGCGCGCUGAACAACGGUGAAACGUCAUGUCCUUGAUGAUAUCAACAACUAUGGAAAGUGAAUGACGACACGGCAGAUAAACGACACAACACCAUGUUCAAAAUUGAUGAAUAAAGUAAAAUAUAUAUAUAUAUCACUUGAAGAAAAAUGAUGAAACUCCUUGGGUACCAGAGACUUGUUCGAUUUACCCCCGAACAGUGGACAAUGAUGAUAAGUCCAAAGUCACGACCGAGACCUCUUAUCUCGGAUAUCACCAUGACGUCUUUUCUAUAUCCAUCGUGAUGUUUGCAGCCGUCUUGAAAACGAGUCAUUCAUGUUUGUUUCACUAAAUUUCAUCAGACGAGUGGAGUGGACUUCUUUUAGUUAGCCUACCCGUUGACCCUGGGAUUUUGGACACCAAAUGACUGACUGCUUUUACACAAAAUAAACAACUGGAUUGGUGCUGCAGAACAUCUGAAAUUGCACUUCAGUAUUUGGGGUUUCGCACAGGACAUUUCACAUUACCCCCCAAACCUCGCUAAUGUUAAAUGUAACCUCUUCAGGGAUACAGAUUAAUAGUUAAGACCUGAAGUGCCCUUUGAGACCGCAGGGACAUAUCCAUACAGACGGUACAAGUCUUCCAUUACCUUUAGCAGUCUGGCUUCACGAUCUUUUUAUUAUUGUUAUUAUUGUUAUUAUUAUUAUUGUUGUUGUUGUUGUUGUUUUUGCCUAUUAGUUUUACUCUAAGAUUUUCCAUUUCUUAAUUGAAACGAAAACGAAAUUAUCUUUAUUCCUAUCCAAAACUUCAGAAAAGACCGUGUGCUGCCAGUGAUUCAUGAUGUUGCCAUUCUGGUAAAUUAAAUUUUACAGAGAUUUUUAAGAUGA